rnacentral:rRNA from 1 species
CACAUCCGUGCACUUUUUGUAGACUUUCGGCAAAAGCGGUUUGAGGAGUCGCUGCUUCACACUGCGAUCGGUCGGUCGGUCGGUCAGUCGGUCAGAUCAGCUUUCCUUGCGCUUGUCGCUUGUCGCUUGUCUAUGGCCCUUUAUUAAUGUUGCUAGUCUGUCUACUGUUAUAUUGAAAUAUAAUAUAAUACAACUUUCAACAACGGAUCUCUUGGCUCUCGCAUCGAUGAAGAACGCAGCGAAAUGCGAUAAGUAAUGUGAAUUGCAGAAUUCAGUGAAUCAUCGAACCUUUGAACGCACCUUGCGCUCCUUGGUAUUCCGAGGAGCACAUCUGUUUGAGUGUCACGAAAAAUAUUCUCAACCUUUAAAGGGGUUGGAUAGCUGAGGGUUGCUGGAUUCUUAUGAUCCAUUCUUGAUCACGAUGUGCAUCUGAUUCAGCUCCCUUUUUGAAAUGCAUCUCCUGAGGCUCAGUUUCUUUUUGGGUGUUGUUGAUAAGAUCUCUAUCCACGACCCAGAAGUUGACAAAUUGCAUCUUGGGAUUUAUUAAUGAACUCUGACCAUCUCUUAAAAACGAUGGGAUGGUUUUUUUUGAAUCUUUUGACCUCAAAUCAGGUGGGACUACCCGCUGAACUUAAGCAUAUCAAUAAGCGGAGGAAAAGAAACUAACAAGGAUUCCCCUAGUAACUGCGAGUGAAGCGGGAAUAGCUCAAAUUUAAAAUCUGACGGUUUUU